AAACAUCUGCUUGGGGAAGAACAUUUCACCAAUAACAGGAGAUAAAAAGCAAAGAUAUAUGGCAAAGAAUGCAAUCAUGAAUAUCUGAAUGCUAUGGUUAUGCAUGCAUAUGCAUGAUUUGUGUAUGAUUAAUGCUAACAAACAGACGUAUCUAACACAAACAAGUCUAAGAACCAUGGACAAACACUCGGCAAAUGUCUCAACAAGAAGGGCGAAGCCUACUGGAGAACUCAGCUUGGGAACAACCCGAGUAGGAUGAAAAUAAAUCAUCGGGG
rnacentral:lncRNA from 1 species